rnacentral:rRNA from 1 species
UACGUAGGGGGCGAGCGUUGUCCGGAGUUACUGGGCGUAAAGGGCGCGCAGGCGGUCUGGUAAGUUUGGAGUGACAGUGCUCGGCUUAACUGAGCAAGGCCUUCGAAAACUGCUAGACUUGAGCACUCAAGAGGGACAUAGAAUUCCGGGUGGAGUGGUGAAAUGCGUAGAUAUCCGGAGGAAUACCAAAGGCGAAGGCAGUGUCCUGGGGAGUGUCUGACGCUCAGGCGCAAAAGCUAGGGGAGCGAACAGG